rnacentral:misc_RNA from 1 species
UAUUGGGACCCCGACCACACAACUCUCUAGUGUUAACAGUCACUGAGAUUAAGCGCGGACGGACAGAUAUGACGAAACUAUAAGGAUUCCUCGUUGACUACGGAACCUUAAAAUGGUGAUGCAUUCACUCAGCCCGUUACCGAUUCGACAAUGCCAAGCUACACUCACUGUACCUACUUGAUGCGACAGUCGCUAGCAGUUCAGUCGCUGCUCAAUAGGACUAGGAGGAAAAUUGUGGUUCCCGCUAUGGACGCGCCGCGCGGCACUCGCUCCUCGCACGAUGUGGCGCGCAGCCGUCGCGUGCGCACUGCUGGCCGUGCUUGCGGCGCCAUCUGCUGCUGACUCCAACCAGACCGCCUGCGAGACCCUGCACAGCUAUGCGCUCUUGAACUCAAAUCUUCGGGCGAUAGGCGAUCGCAGCGUGUCGGUGGACGGGCUGGAGGUGAGCGUGUCGCUGUACUGGGGCAGCGGGCCGGCGCGCGCCGCCGCCGCGCUGCUGCGCGCGCAGCUGACGCACGUGCACCGCUACCGGCGCGUGCGGCUGCGGCGCGGCCCGCUCUCCACCGCCGCGCUGGCCGCCCACGUGCCGUUCCACUCCGACGCCAACUACACCGAUUUGGUGAUAGGCUUAUCGACCGCGUGGAGUCCAGAGAGUGCGCCACCCUGGGUGCCGUCAGCGGGCCGCAAGAGCAGCUUGGCGGGGCCGCGGCUGAGCGAGUUCGGCGCGAGCCCCGUGCCCGCGCAUUGCCGCCUGUUCGCCGUGCUGGCGGCCGCGCACCGGCAGCCGCGCUGCGCCGGCCUCUCGCGCCACCUCACCCGCGCCGACCUCGCCGCGCUUGCCCACUGUGGCUUUAAACAUCAAAUCAACGGCUCCGCGUUUGACCUGUUCGUCGUGGACGAGUGCAACAGCACGCGGCUACGCGCCUGUGCCCUCGACUAUGGAACCACGUUCUCGCCCAAGGCCAUGAACAGAACCGACCUCUAUCACAAGUUGAACGCCAUCACAAACAACACUGAAUCGUUUUUCUUUUUAGAUUUUGACAUUUGGGAGGGAGAAGAGACAGUGCGUGCGUUAAACGUACCUUGUCGGGAACAGGAAGUUGAUAUGCGCAUCGGUGAUAUAGCCAUGUUACAGACAUACGCGCCGCAGUUGUUUCGAUUUAUUUACAAUUUUAAACCUUCCGCAACAUCUUUGAGGCAAAUUCUUGAACGUGAAGCAAACGGCGAUAAUAUUGAUGAAGCGGCAUGCACUUGGGUGAUUGAAAACGAAAAAUAUAAGAUUGACAAAAGUACCCUGAUGGAUUAUGAUGCGUCUGGAUACGUAGUCGUCAUAUUUGUAUGUAAUGACGAUUCCUUCAAAGAUCGUUACAGAUAUGAGUUGUUUCCAUUCUUGGGUAAACAUAUUACAAAUGAGAUGAAACAAGUGACGUCAUAUGUAACUUUCAGAAAAUAUACAAUUAAUUGUACUAGUGAAGACGAUAUGAGUGCACAUUUUGAAAUGCUGACGACGACUGUGGAACUAUACCGACUACUAGGGGUGGUGUCGAUGUCGGUGGAGGGCGCGCAGAAGGCGUCGGCCCUGGCGGCGCCGCGCCACGUGCCGCUCAUGCUGGCGGACGUGGCGCCGGAGUUCGGCGGCAACACCACGUGGCGCGUGGCCGCCCGCGUGCUGCACGUGGCGAGCGCGCUCACGCACUUCGUGCGCAGCUCGGGCUGGGCGCGCCUCGCCGUCUUGACGCAGCCCACCAAGCUGGCUGCGGACUACUGGGACGCGCUCCGACACAAUACCACCAUCACCUUCGGCCACUUCCAGUUACCGCUCCGCAUCACGAGGCAUAAGGCGAAGGAAACCAUAGACAGUCUGCGAGCAGCGAACGCGCGUAUCGUGUUUAUUAAUGCAGAUUCUAAAUCUGCCGCAGUGAUCCUUGCUGUAGCCGACGAGAAUGGUAUGACCUACCACAACGGUUUCGUGUGGAUUGUGCGCGAUUGGCGUCCGACGACCGACACGAAUACAUCAUGUCAUGAAGCCCGCCGGAUAACUCACUUUGUGCUGUCUCUUUGGAUGCGAGACUCGCGGGACAUCCCGUUUCGUGAAGGAAAUAAUGUACUUCAAGAACACCUGAGUGCGAAAUUUAAGGACAGGCCCUGGCCACCUCACGCUGUGUCCAUUGCAAACGCAUUUCUAACUCUAACGAUUGGUUUUAAAAAUGUUUUCAAACAAAACCCGAGCACGCGAUAUGACCUGCAUAACAAACAAGUAACCAGAUUACUCCAUAACAAAAUCACAGAAAACCCAGCGCCCGGUGUCAACCAAGACCUCCACUUCAAGAAUCGAUCCAUCGAAGAGACGGCCGUGUUCGCAGACCAGUGGUGCGGAGCGCAGUUCCAGCAGCGGCUGGGCAGGUGGCGCGUGAACGCGAGCAGCGGCGCAGUGCGCGGCAACUACACGCCGCCCGGCGACCUGCCGCGGCACGACGGCGCGUCGCGCUGCAUGGUGAGCAGCGGCGACGCCUUCGACCCGGCCUGCUACGACGCCGCGUGCGCCAGUGCGCUGCUGCUCUCGCUGCUGGCGUGCGGCGCGCUGCUGCUAACGCGCCGCGUGCUGCUGCGCCGCCUGGAGCGCGAGCGCCACGAGCAGCAGAUCCAAGCCGUCGCACGCCGCCAGCACGUGGCCGCGGUGUUGGCCGCUUACCUGGUGGAGCGCGACGCGCUGGAACUGCGCGAGGAGCUGGGUGCCGGCCGCUUCGGCAGCGUGCGGCUAGCUCGACUGCGCACGUCCACGCACGGCACGCGCUAUAUCGCCGCCAAGGCUCUGCGCGCUAACGCCGCGCCGGCCGAAGAGAGCGAGUUUCUCCGCGAAGCGUGCACCAUCGCCUCGCUCGACCACCCGCACAUCGUGCGGCUGGUGGGCGUGUGCAUCGCGGAUGGGCCACCGCUUGUGCUCAUGGAGCUGGCGUUCUUCGGCGACUUACUGGGGUACCUGCGCGCACGACGCCACCUGGUGGAGGGCGCUGGCACGGAGGCGCCGCCGGCGAGCGGCGAGGCGGAGCACGUGUCGGCGGGCGCGCUGACGCGGCUGGCGCGCGAGGCGGCCGAGGCGCUGCGCUACCUGGGCGCGCGCGGCGUGGUGCACCGCGACGUCCGCGCCGCCAACUGCCUGGUGGACGUGCGGCGCUCGCUGAAGCUGGCCGACUUCGGCAUGGCGCGCGACACGGUGGCGGGCGCGGACGGAGCGCCCGAGUACGCGUGCCGGCGCCGCGGGCUCUUCCCCGUGCUGUGGAUGGCGCCCGAGAGCCUGGCGCACGGCGUGUUCUCGGCCGCGUCCGACGUGUGGGCGUUCGGAGUGCUGCUGCUCGAGCUGGUGACGCUGGGCGCGCGGCCGUACGGCAGCAUGUCGCCGCUGUGCGUGCUGGAGUACGUGGCGGGAGGCGGGUCGCCGCCGCUGCCGCUGGACGCGUCGCCACAGAUGCGCGGGCUGGCGCGGCUGUGCUGGCAGCGCGCGGCCGAGCGCCGGCCGGCGGCGGCGGAGCUGGCGGCGUACCUGGCGGCGUGGCCGCGCGCGCUGCGUCCGGCGCUGCUGAGCGAGCGCGACGAGCCGGCCGACGCUGACAGCGGCAUCGGGGACUCGCCCUCUACGGAGCUGCUGCCUCCUGACUCGCCUCUUCUCUCCCUUGAUCAGCUCGAUGUGCUAGGUGUAACACACUGACCUAAUAAUAUGUUACCCAACGUUUUUUCAUUAGAUAAUAUUGCAUAUCGAAGUACCUACAUAAAUAAUUUUAUCAAUAAUAUUAAGGAAUAAAUAAGCGCAACGAUCAUAAACCUAUAACUAGAUAUAUAGUUACUGGUAUACUUAAGGUGUAAUAAGAUAUAUUUUCAUUUCAUUUAUAUCAGCAACAAUGUUAAGCGUGGUGAUUAACGCUCAAUCCUUCUCCGUGCAAGAGGAGGACUGUGCUCAGCAGUGGGACGAUAAAAAGGAAAAAAAACAAUAAAAGAACAAUGUUUACAUUAUACGCAUAAAAAUAACCAUAACAAACAUUAGCCUUUAAAUCUUAAGCUGAUUAAGUAAGUAUGAAUCAUGGAUCAUUUCCUAAUUUCCAUUUGACAUAAUUUCCCAGCUGUGUAUGUUGGGGUCGGCUUCCAAUCUAACCGGAUGCGGCUGAGUACCAGUGUUUUGCAAGGACCGACGGCCUAUCUGACCUCCGCAACCCAGUUUUUUAAUUUAGAUAAUUUUUGCCAGAAAAGAUCGGUGGUUGGUGUCGGGUUUGUAGCAGUCGCAUUGGCAGAGCCUGCACAUUGGGAUUUGAGGAUCUUCCUAAUGUGCACGCUCACUCAAGCCUCGCUUACCUCUGAAGAAACGAGCUUUGGGGCACAGGGGGCAUCUCUCUAGGGCAUCCAGUGAUCCAGAAGAUUGACAUGCACUAUAAUCCAUAUAAUUCCCACUGCGCAUCCGUGUGCUGCGGCUCGUUUUAUUUAAACUUAUAAGCUAAAACACCAAAAUGACUAAUAUUACAAGAAAAAUAAAUCCAAAAACACAAAAAUAAACAAAGUUCUGCAGUCAAAUUGACGGCGUCGCUUUGCGGGGCCGCGCCGCCGCGCCGCGUACCUACAGGCAGCGGCAUCUCGGCACAGGCCUCGCCAGCCAGUAAACAACAGCUCGGAGCUGUCCAGCUCGCCGUGGAGUUUUAUCGUCUUUCUAUAAAAGAAUCUCUUCGUCUUUAUGUAAAUGGCCACAUGCGUAUCUUCUGCAAGCAGUACACGUGCAAUUAUCAACAAAAUUCUUAGUAAAUAAAUAAAUAAAUUGUUUAUUACUUCACUUUGAACAUAAUUUUACAAUAUUUUGCUAAUUCUAAAAAGUGCUGAUGUAUAAUUUGCCCGAACUAGGUAAACACCUGUGUCUCGGGCGUAAAAGUGCUUAUUAUAAUAUUUAUAGCGAAUUAACAAUAAAUUGCUAUAGUAACUAAAAACUAGGUCAAUGUGACAAAUACAGUGUUAUUACACAUGUUUGUUAUAAUGCUUAGGUAUGUACUAAUUAAAAUAUACAUAUUGAGUACCUACAAUAUUUGAGUGUAAAUAUGCGGCCUAAAAAUAAUCGGUAAUCCAUUAUCCCUAAGUAAAAUAUGAAAUUAAAUAAUGUGUUAAAAUGAUUAUAGCUAAAUAUGUAUUAUCUAGAGUUUGACGCUAUCAGACGCCUUUAUAGUCUACGGAGUUGAUGUACCUAUACUCAGCGGCUUUUCUAGCAGGGCAUUCGGAAUCUCCCGUCUUGUGAUUGUGGGGUUUUUUAUAGCGCUUACAGGUUGCACAUUUCGGCGGUUCUUCCUUUGAAGAGCACUCUUGAGUCGCGUGUCCUUCUCCUCCACAGUGGCCACAAGUAGAGGUAGCAGAUUUGCAAGUCUUGGAUGUGUUAUGGACCAUAUAAUACCCACAUAUAUAGACCAUAUAAUUUAAACAAAAAAUUGUAUUUCUUGAAAACAUUCUUGUUUUUGAUAGAAUAAAUACUAAUUAAUAAGUAAAGUAACCAUUCACGAAUAAUUUGAUGUAAAAAAAAGUACUUGAAAAGGAUUUUUUCAUUACGAGAUGCUUAAAAAUCUGUUUCAAGGUAGAGAUUUUUCGGUAUUUCGGAAUAUUUUAUAAAACUGUAAAUCCGUAAGAUUUUGCUGAACAUAUAUUGUGUGGUAUUGAUAGGUAGUGACCCAAGCUAUCACCCCCUGCAGUAUGUCGUGCUAUUUACUGGACACCCUGUAUAUAGAUUUCAAUUUUUUUAUUGUUAUUGCCAUUUAACUUAAAAUAAACUAAAUAUUAAACCACUUAAAUAAUUAGGAUCAUGAUUUGGAUUAAUGAUGAAGGACUUCUGCCUUUUUUCAUCAAAUGACCCCCCGCUGUGGGUGAGCAGCGGUGAGGGUGUCAGACUCUUACUGACUGACCGUCGUGUUCUGUCGUAGGCCGUUUAUGUACCAGGGCCGCGGUCUUUCGAACAAUCUCAUAAGUUGUUUAUUUUAUUUUUUUCUUAUGAUGAAGUUAGUUAAAGAAAUGUCUCAUUUAUACUAUCUUUUAGAUUUUUUAAUAUGCACUAUGUUUCUUACAAAGAAAUGAACUAGAUUAACUAAAUGGACUAGAUUUACCAACUGACUGACAUGACAUGUUGUCAUAUAUUAUGUUCGUGGAUCAAAGUUACACAUUCGUUAUUUUCGAAAGGGUAUGAUUUAAGCUGUCACCAAUUUAAUUCAUUUUGUGUUUCUUAAAUAAUAGGGUUUGCCCUCAAAAUAGUAGAUUUGUCACCAAAAUGUAGUUACCAAACAAUAUAAAAUCAAUUCCACAAUAAAUUACCGAAAAUCAUGGAGAUAUGGGGUCAAGUACCAAGUAAAUGGUUUUGUAUGUAUUAUAAGAGUUUGUCCUAAUAGUAUUUAGGCAAACUAAUUUAAAGAGAUCACCAAUAAAUCAUAUAUUAUAUCACUAGAAAAUUUCAUGAAGGUCUAAAAAUGUAGGGUGGUCGUCAUCAUCCUUUCAACCAAGAGUCUACUACUUAACUGGCCAUGUGCCUCCCCCAAGGGUCUUAAUUUCCACAGGUAGUAUAAAUAUAUUUAAAUUAAAUUUCUAGCUGAAUAGUAAAUAAAACACUUACUUAAAGUCAAAAUACCACCACACACAACCACAGGAGUCAUUUUUCGUUUUUAUAAUUUACAACAUCAUGUGUAAAGCAGAGAUAAAGUUAGGAGUAUCGUAUGUUAUGAUCAGUUGACAGCUGUCAGUUUUCAAGGGAGAAUUUCAGUUGUUUGUAAUGACUGACUUUUAUAUGGUGUUCUAAUUUUUGCACAUUUUUAUUCCAUUUACUUUGUUUGAAAAAAAAAAAUUGUUUUAUUUUUACGUAUUUUUCUUUUAUCUUUGUAUUAAUCAACAUAUAUUAACCAGUAUAUUAACGCAUUUCAUUUAAUGUGAUUAUGAACGACACACCCGAUAUAGUAGAUUUAAGUAGGUAUACCUACAUAUAAGUUUUGAAUAAAACAACUUGACUGCGUUUCAGAAAUAAACAACA